UACGUAGGGUGCGAGCGUUGUCCGGAAUUACUGGGCGUAAAGGGCUCGUAGGUGGUUUGUCGCGUCGUCUGUGAAAUUCCGGGGCUUAACUCCGGGCGUGCAGGCGAUACGGGCAUAACUUGAGUACUGUAGGGGUAACUGGAAUUCCUGGUGUAGCGGUGAAAUGCGCAGAUAUCAGGAGGAACACCGAUGGCGAAGGCAGGUUACUGGGCAGUUACUGACGCUGAGGAGCGAAAGCAUGGGUAGCGAACAGGAUUAGAUAC
rnacentral:rRNA from 1 species